CCAAGCCCCCUUAGAGUUGCCAGUAACAGACAUGGCUGCGGCCCUUGGAGGAGGGGACGCGAAGUGAGGAGGGGGCAGGGAGGGGAGUGGAGUGGACGCAGGCGAGGAGGACAGACCCCCGGGCCCGGAUGCUGUGACUGUGACAGAGUCGCUGGGGUUUGUACAUGUUGGGGCGGAGCCUUCCUUUCGGGGGUGACCACACUCACCUGGGCAUGCCUGCAGCACUCCGGGCGCAUGGACCUGAAGGAGAAGCGUGCGUUUGCAAAGGCUGCAGCGGACUCCUAGGCAGUGGCCAGAAGCUGCUCGAAAGCUGAUCCUGCCUCCCCCCGGGCUUGCCUCAGGAGACUUCCUGCCCUUAACCUCUGGACUGCGGGCCCCUCCUUUUCUUUCCCACUCAGCCCUGGGUUUGGAGGGGCCCCUCAGGGAGCUGGCCUAGAGAAGGGGGAGGGGAGCGGCUGGCUGGAACCUUCCCUUCCCUGCAACUCGAGAUGAUGUGUGUCCUCUAGGAACCUCGGCCCUGGAGAAACAGGCUCGGGCUCAGGCCACGCCCCGCGGUCAUUGGACCGUUAGGCGGCUUCCUCUCCCUUGGGUUGUGCAGCCCCAUCCUAGGGGCAGCCUGGACAUGGGCAGAGAAGUUUCCCAUACAGUCCCAGGGCCUUUGGCCCUGCUUUACCCGGGAAGUGCUGACAGCUUCCUGUGUGUCCAGCUUGGGCGGAGAGAUAUUCAGGCUCCGCUGCUGCUCGGGGAGGGAGCCCCAGGUCACUGCCCUCCUCCCAGCCCCAGCAGCACUCGGCAGGUGUGACUGAAUGCCCCGCGCUCAUCAGCUGCCGGCAUUGGACAGCCUGCUGGGGUCCCAGCACCCGCUGUGGGCAGGUGUUGGGUCCCAGGUGUUGGACUCCCCGAGGCCCUUCCUCUGGGGCUGGCUCUUCCCUCUUCCGCUCGCCCCCGGGCCCCUGCUCUGCCCUCCUGGAAGCUACUGCUUCAGACUUCUCGGUCCUUCCCUCUCCUGCAGGAUGUGCUGCUAUUAAUAACCCGCAAGGCCCUCUCCCCUGCUUCCCGCAGCUCUGACUGUGGAGAGCUGUUGUUGGCUUGGCUCCACGCCGGGAGUCUCGGUGAUUUCGGGGAGCCCUCAUGAUGGCAGGCUCUGCACAUGGGGCUCCUACCCGUCCCCAGUAACGGGCCAAGGAAAGGUAGUCUGGGAAGAAGCCCAGGUGUGCCUUGAUGCCUGCAGUUGCCCUGACAACAGCAGCGGUGUCCAGCAGUUCCUCCCUGCCGCCCACCCCUUGGCUGCACGUCACCCCUCUGCUCGCCCCACAGUGGCCUCCUCUGAGGAAUAGGCCAACCUUCUGGGCAUCUGGCAGCGCAUCUACAAACUUUCUCCUCUCAGCCCCCUCUCUCCCCCUCCCUCUCCCUCCUCCCUGGCUGCUGUGCAGCCUGCCUCCUCCUCUUUCCUCCCUCAGUCUGCAGCGCGACUGGAAAUAGGUUGAAUUAAUCAGCAGAUUGGAGCUCCACUGGCUGCAUGCGCGGUCGCUGCAGCACCAGCUCCUCGCUCACACGCUCUCUAG